rnacentral:misc_RNA from 1 species
GAUGAAGAACGCAGCGAAAUGCGAUAAGUAAUGUGAAUUGCAGAAUUCAGUGAAUCAUCGAAUCUUUGAACGCACAUUGCGCCCCCUGGUAUUCCGGGGGGCAUGCCUGUUCGAGCGUCAUUUCACCACUCAAGCCUCGCUUGGUAUUGGGCAACGCGGUCCGCCGCGUGCCUCAAAUCGACCGGCUGGGUCUUCUGUCCCCUAAGCGUUGUGGAAACUAUUCGCUAAAGGGUGCUCGGGAGGCUACGCCGUAAAACAAACCCAUUUCUAAGGUUGACCUCGGAUCAGGUAGGGAUACCCGCUGAACUUAAGCAUAUCAAUAAGCGGGGA